GAUGAACGCUGGCGGCGUGCCUAAUACAUGCAAGUCGAGCGAAUGGAUUAAGAGCUUGCUCUUAUGAAGUUAGCGGCGGACGGGUGAGUAACACGUGGGUAACCUGCCCAUAAGACUGGGAUAACUCCGGGAAACCGGGGCUAAUACCGGAUAACAUUUUGAACCGCAUGGUUCGAAAUUGAAAGGCGGCUUCGGCUGUCACUUAUGGAUGGACCCGCGUCGCAUUAGCUAGUUGGUGGGGUAACGGCUCACCAAGGCAACGAUGCGUAGCCGACCUGAGAGGGUGAUCGGCCACAGUGGGACUGAGAAACGGCCCAGACUCCUACGGGAGGCAGCAGUAGGGAAACUUCCGCAAUGGACGAAAGUCUGACGGAGCAACGCCGCGUGAGUGAUGAAGGCGUUCGGGUCGUAAAACUCUGUUGUUAGGGAAGAACAAGUGCUAGUUGAAUAAGCUGACACCUUGACGGUACCUAACCAGAAAGCCACGGCUAACUACGUGCCAGCCGCCGCCGUAG
rnacentral:rRNA from 1 species